UCCCUGUGGGUCGCGGCGCCGGCGCUGCGUGGAGGCGCGCGGGUUACGUGACGCCCGGAGUUGGAGAGAAGACCAGAACCACCUGCUGAAGACCGGAGCUACGGGGGCCGGGCAGGGUCCAAACGGCUCACGUAGGCGGAGGCGCCGCGGGCCUCGGGGUCACGGGGAGAGAAGGGCCUCUCCCGGAGCGAGUGGAAGGAGGGAGGCCCGGCGGGAAAUUGGGGCGCCAAGGCCACGCCCCGCCGCUCGCGGGGGUCACCUGCGUCGCGGAGAGCUCUGGCGUGGAGAACGUUGUGAGAUAGGGCGGCCGGGCUGCCCGCAACUCGAGGGCGACCUCCCGUUCGUGAAGUCGGGACGGUGCUGCGCCGGAUCUCCUAGGGAGAGUAACUGCUCGGUUCUCCGUAGUCAGGCGGCGGUGUCCCGCGGUCCACCUACUCUGUCCGUGGCUCUAGUUCAUUUGACAAGCUGAGCGAAGUGACGAACUCAGACCCUUCGGGCACAUGGCAAUUGAUGCCCGAGCUGGAACCCCGCUGUACUGUCUUCCAGUUCUGGCUACACUUCGUGGCACCGUGUCCAUAAACCACUCUGACCCAGCCCACCUUGAACACUCCCCAUAGGUGAGAUGCUGCGGCCUUACAGACGGGAGUUGACUUUCUCGGUGCUCUCAGAGUAAGGAAUAAAACAAAGGUAAAACAGUUUUAUAGUAAAAGACCGUGAUAGGUGCCACGCAGAAGUACAGAGUUCUGCAGAGAGCGUCAAAGCGUCUAGCUCUGUCACAGGGAUCGGGAAAGGAAGGCGGCACGCAGAAGGCAAGGGGAUUGACCCUGAAGGAAGUGGGGAGGGUUUUACAGCAACAGCAUGAAGAUGUACUUGAAGGCCGGAGAAAGCUGUGUUCCAGGAAGAGCACAAGCUCUAGGGUAUGCAGCGCAGACAAAGGAGAAUGGUCCGCACGCGGCAAGUUGGUGAAUUGGUGUUUGAUUCAGUAUUUUGAGUUUUCAAGGUCUAAAAAUUUGAGGGAAGCAAAAGCUUUUUCUUUGUGACUACCGAAUUUAAAAGGAUGUGGUUGAGAGGUGAUCUGCAGGAAGGAUCUACAGAAUUUGUCAACUACUGUAACUGAUUAAUUGGGGGUAGCAAGAGAACAAUAAUAGAGGCUUUGAGUUUGUGGACAAUUAUAAGGAGUAGAAAAAGGAGGGCAGUUCUAAGAGAAAGGAGAAGGAGCACCUUUUUGAGAAGAUGAUCACUAUAGAUUUGGACAUUUUAAGGGUUUGAAGGGUUUUCAAAGUAGACACGUAGAUGUGGACCCUGAGAAAUCAGAAAUUAAGGUUUUGAAGUUUAGGAACAGAGGACUGAGCAAAAAAAUCGAUGGGAAAGUAUCAGCCCCACAGUGAUAUUGUGACAGAAGACGGCAGAAUCUUGGAAAAUUCCUUCUUUUGAGUUUUGCUGAAGUGUGACCAUUGGUCCAGCAGAGUGGGCAGCACUAGAAGGUUUGUUAGAAAUGCUGAUCUCAGGCCCCAUCCCGGGCCUGGUGAUUCUACGUUGUUAUGGUUUAUGUCCAGAUGUCCCCCCAAAGCCUGGGGCUUUUUGGAGGUGGCUGGAUCCAGGAUGUAGUGAUGCUGGGACUAUGAGUGUCUGAUAUCUGGAUUAGUCUGCUGAUUGGAGUCACAUAGUUCUGGGGGUGGCUGAAUGGGUUUACUGAAGACAGAAGAGCCACCCAGGGUGUAAGUGGCACCAACCAAUAGGGCUAUAGCUUGGAUGGAAUGAAAGAAGGAAGGCUGCUACUUGCUCCUUCUUACCUUGCAUGCCCUGGACAGUUUCUCCUCUGCCGCGUCCCUCUGCCAUGCGGUUGUGCCUUGGAGCCAGCUGACUACGGACUGAGACCUUUACAAACUGUGAGCUAAAAUAAACCUUGCUGGACCCCCAACGAGGCACCUGUGCUUUGAUUAUGCAGAUGAGUGCAGAGCCACUAGGAAGAAGGUACCUGGAGAAAGGACAGCAGGCACAGGGAACAUUCGAUUAUAAAAAGAUCAAAGACCAGAGUCAAUUUGACCACCCAACUCCUCUGGACCUAGAACUGCAAAUCAGCCUGAGACAAUGGACCUGGCAGGAUGUCUUCACCUAUAGACUUCAUCUUGGCACACAAAAUUUCAGCUCUGCUGAAACAUGCGGCAUGUGACUCUCCCUCUCACCUAGUCACUAGGUUUCCUAGACACUUGAAUGGAAUCGGCAGUCAUUGAUGCAACCCCAACGCCAAGACUAGAACGUCGCAGUGAUAGUUCCGA